AUGUGUGUGGGCAGCUUGGCGAGGAGCAGAGAGGCAGCUUGGAAGGCAGUGCUGCCAACAAUCCACCCGCAGCCCACACUGUCUCCACAAAGAGCGUCUUCAGCCAGCGUGAACACACAGGUGGGAGCACACAGCAGUUUUAUCCCAGUCCCUUCCCUCUCCAUACAGCAGAUCCACCCCAAUGCACCUGGAGACUGGUCUGGGGGCAUCACAUUGGCUUCACUGAGGUCACAGCCAAUGCUGGAUUAUGCUGUGCUGCAUCAGGUGGGAAUAACCAAUUUGUUACAGCUCUUGCCUAUUCUUCAGCGCCACAAAAAUAUUCCCAUGCAAGCCCAUGUCAGAAGGGUUUCUCAUUCCAGAGUGAUUCCAGUCCUCGGGUAAAUUACACCCUAGCGGGAGAAAGGAUUGGGGAGAGGUGACCUGUGGCACUCCUGGCUGCACAGAGCAGAGGCAAUAACAGCUUGACAAGAGCGGACCUGAGGAAAGAAGGAAUCCAUCCUACUGCAGCUGACCCAACAGGUAACACUCCCUGCUUUGGUGCCCGGGGGUCAAGAAUGUGCUGGUGAGUGGGGUUUCUCUUUGUUAAUCCUCUUGGGGUUCACCAGGGGCUGCACAGCAGUGGGUCCUUUGGGUUUAACUUUACAAAGGGAAUGUUUUCCCAGGAUGGCCAUCUCAUGCCAGGCUCUUCUACUGAAUUUACAUAGUUUUCCUGUGAUGUUGCAUCCCAGAAAUUCUUUCUUUCUCUUUCUGUCCAUCCUUGCUGUGCUUUUUGAUUCAAGCAAUGAGACCAGUGCAGGAAGCUGCUGGAGUUGAGAUGGCAGCUGGUCUCCUCCUGGGGGUUUGGGACUCAGCUGGGCCAAGCCAUGGCCACCAAGACCCAACGAUGGUGACAGUUGAACAGGAAGGUGGGUAAGGGACCUACCAGGUCCCCCCACCAGCACAGCAGUGCAGGUGAGAUCCUGACUGGGUCUUCUGUAGGAACAGCAGAGGGAGUAGGUGACUUUCUUCCUCACUAUGAAAUAAUGUCUUGCAGCAAGGAAAGCUGGUUCCUCCAGCUGGAGAGAGGUAGGUCAUGAAGGAGGACAAGGGAAACCUUCUUACACUCUUCCUGUCCUUGGCCAGGAAGAUAUUUUGCAAGGAAGCAGUGGGGUGGAUGCAAGAUUUGGGCAUGCCAAUGCCAAACCACCUGUGUAUUUGGCUGGUGCUUGACAUGGCUCUUUCCUGUGGGCUUUCCAGCCUUGAAAAACCUGCAAAAUUCUAUUUGAUACCAGAGCAAAUCCAGUGUGUCCUGGGGUCUCUAAAAUCCUACCUUCAACUCUAACAAGCACCUAACAAAAAGUUUAUUUUACAAACAAAGCAUCUGUUAUCCUAAAAUUUAAAACUGGGUGAUUUAUUUCUGACUGGUUCAGCUACCAAAUAAUCUAUUCUUCUGACUGUCCAAAACAUGACUUAAAAUGAAGAGUCUCAGGUGGGUAAAGAUAUAUAAACGUAUGUGCAUGUGAAUUAUUUUUCUGAAUAAAAGGAUCUGACUGAGAAUACA
rnacentral:lncRNA from 1 species